AACACCAGCAAACAGUCUCCUAGACGUAGGGCUACACUGAUGGACCGGAUUGUAGGAUUUCUGCACUGAGUCCCUGCCCCUCUGCCUUUCCUGCCACCCCAAGUCCCUUCCCCUCCUGAAGCAGCAAUCUCUUCCAUCUCCCUCUCUGGUCUCUUCUCCCCACCCCUUUCCUCUGCACCUAACCCCCUCCCCUCCAUCUAACCCCACCUUCACUCUCCUCUCCGAGGGGGGAGGGCCAGGGGGUGGGGAAAGAAAACCCCCAAAUCCCCAGCCCUGGGCAGAGAUGUCGAAGAAACGCAAAGCCCUCGAGGGUGGAGGAGGUGGCGGAGAACCCCAGCUCCCAGAGGAGGAACCCACUGCCUGGUUUGGGGACAGCAGCGAGGAGCAAGUUCUCUAAGUUAGAAGAACAACACAAGUCUCACUGGGCUAACCUCGAGGUAUCGGCAGGGCUGGCUCCUUCUGGAGGCUUCAGGGAAGCAUCCAUCUCCCCACUUCUCCAGCUUCUUGAGGCCGUCCGCACUCCUGGGCUUGUGGUCCUGCUCCAUCUUCCAAGCCAGCAACAGCAGAUUGAGUUCCUCUCACUUAGCAUCACCCUGAACUUCCUCUACUGUAGACAAGUCUUCCUCUUCCUCCCUCUGCUGUCUCCACCUUUGUGAUUACCUUGGGCCCCCAAGAUCAUCCAGGGCAGCCUCCCAUCUCUAGAUCCCUAAGUGAAUCAAUCACAUCUGCAAAGUCUCUUUUGCCACGUGAGGUAACCUAGUCAUAGGUUCCAGAGAUUUGGAUGUGAACAUUUUUGUUGGGGCAUCAUUCUGCCCAACCACAAGCAUGUACCCGGCACUCACCACAUGUGGCAGUUAGUUGGUGUGUACUUUCUCUACCUGUAAAUCCCUGGAUGGAGAACAUGAUUUUUUCUCUCUACAUCUCUUUGCAUUUCAUCUGGUUCACUUAACCUGAUCCCCAGUGUCUUAGUCUGUACAGUGUGGCCGUAACAGAAUACCUGAGAUGGGGUAUUUAUUUAAAAAAAAAAUAAUAGGUGGGUUUAAGUCACAGUUCUGCAGUCUGGGCAGCUCAAGGCCAUGGCCCUUGGUUCUGGCAAGGCAAGGGCUUUUGUGGUGCUGCGUCAUAACAUGGCAGAGAAGGUCAAAGCGUAAGUGGACACGAGCAAAGAGAAGAUCAGAGGGGCCUCCUGGCUUUGUAACAAACCACUCUCAUGGGACUAUUCCAUUCCCUGGAGAACUAAUUCAGUCUUUCCAGAGUGAGACCUCACUACCAUGAGAACAGCACCAGGCCGUUCAUGAGGGAUCUGCAUCAGUGAUUCCAACACCUCCCACUAGGCCCCACCACCCAACACUACCACACUGGGGACCAAAUUUCAUCAUGGGCUUGGUGGGGAAAAGCCAACCAUACCCACACCAUAGCACCAGCCUGGGACCCAAAUGCACCAAAAAAGGGAAUGAGAAAGCCUAGAACUGAACCAUCCAGCAGUCAGAUACCAAAGAGAUCCAAAAAGUUAAACAAUCAUGAAGAAAAAGCGUUGAGAGGGUGAGACCUCAGGCAAGUUGAAGGCCAACAGCUGGCACCAAUGUGGGAAGAUGAAGCCUUGCAUAAACAUAAGCCCAAUCGUUAUUUCUCAUGUAAGGACUUGGUAAUUAGAAAAAGUGCAAAGAUGGUCCAAACCUCCUAGAUGAUGCUUUCUUGCAGGGUGAACUUUGGUAAACACUGGGGGAUGGAGGAGAGAGGAAUCUGCCUUCCAGGCUUGUCAGGUUUGCUCUUAAUCAUCCUGAGAACACAGGGUCUAAUGGAGCAUCUGUUGGUCGUCUGCAUGGCUGUGAUAUUUUACUUUAUCAUUUCCACCUACCACUUUUAUAAGUAUUUUUAUUCUCCAUAAAACAGGCUUUUAAGAGCAUUUACAAAUUAAUCACAUUAAAGACUUAUUAUCUGUUCUCUUAUGAUACACCUAUUUUGAUAUGGUGUGAAGAUAAUUGUUAUAAUCUCUAUUAAUUACAUACUGGCAUUCAUUAAAUAUGAAAAUGUUCAAUUGUUUG
rnacentral:sRNA from 1 species